rnacentral:lncRNA from 1 species
GUCUGCCUUAAAUCUCAGCUAACGAGAUCUCUUAUAUGUAACUAACCUUUCCUUUUCUUUGAAUGUUCUUUAGGACGGACAAACCCCACGAAGACAUACUGCUGGCUAAAAGCACACCAUCAGGCGAUCAUACCACAGGCAGUAACCACUAAGAAAUACCAGAGGUUAAGAGGAAAUUCUGCUUUUCAGACCCAGUAAGGAGUUUGUCCUCCGGGGAUCCUCACACGAGUGCUUACAGAUAUCUGAACAACUCCAUUCAAGGCAGCAUUGUUUGAAAUAGAUGAAAACAUUUUGGAAACAUCAGUGUCAAUGAGUAGGGGACUAACUGAACAAAUUAUGGUUCAUCCACGACACGGAACAUUGUGCAGUCCCUAGAAAGAAUGCAGUAGAACACCACGGGCCGAUUAGCCCUGAGCUAACAUCUGCCACCAA